CAUCACCCUCCUGCCAGGGGUUGAAGUCAGGAAGUAGUUUAUUUUCGCUGAAACUGAAGGGGGAAGUUAAAGAGAAAAAUAGCUGCAACUUGGUCAAUUCAGGAAAACCAGGUACGAAAAAAGAGGAGCAAGUUAAAGGGAAAGCCAGCUCGGAUUUGCUCACCAGUAAAAGGCAAAAAUCCCAGUGUUAUUCAUCUGCAUUUGGUGUGAAAGACAAAAGCUCAACUGGGAUCUGAGGCUUUCUGUGUCAGAGGGCAAGGAGUCAAUGGGGUUAUGAGGAAGUAAGACCACUUGAGACAUCAAAGAAAAGUAGAUCAAAUCACUAGACUCCUCCAAACAGGAGUGGGUGAAGACAAAAAGUGGAGAGAAUCCAGAGGGAAGAGAGGAGUAGGGAAAAUGGUGGAAAGGGAAGGUUUUUGAGAUGGAAGGCAGAGAAUGGGAACAAAAGAAGAAAAAGCUGUUUGUUUCAAAUCAAUAUUCUCCAAGAGGAUGUCUUGUUUCCCCAGGGAUAUUCUGAGGGACUCACAGGAUCAGAGCUGCGACACUUCUAACAUAUGAAUUCUCUCAAUUCUGAUGCCCUUUGACCUCUGCCACACAAUGCCAAGACAAACCCAGACCCCAGGCCCUGGAAACAGAGGAGGGGCAGGACGUGAUAGAGCUUCAGCAACAUGGAGAGGAGAUAGCCGGUCUGGCUAGGAUGGAAGAAAUGUACAUGGAGAAGAAAGACAGAAGAACCAUCACUGAGCACUAAACUAAUCAGCCAUAAUGUGCAGAUUGACUGGCAAGCCUAUCACCACCUUGAUAACAGAUGACAUUAAAGAGAAAGUAUCAAUGUGAGGAUUAAAUGGGAUGAAAAAUAAAACAUCUGUCGGAGUGCCUGGAAUAUGGUACACAAAUAUCCAAGAUUGGAAAGAAGAAAGAAAAUGACGACAGAAUUUUGCAGUCUACAAGGCAAACACUGCCAUUCAUGUAGUUAUGGAGUUCCUACUAUGUGCAGACAAUGGGAAACUUUACGAAGGGACACAGAGGUUCAUGUGAUGUAAUAAGAAAGAAAUAAAGGAAGCUUUAUCUGCCGCUCUUUCAACCUCAUCCACUCAACACUUACCCCGUGACAGACCCCAAUACUCUUAAUGAAUUCCCAAGGUUACGAAAGAACUUGGAAGAUCUUACAUUCCUACAUGGUGAUUACAGAGGCUCACAUUUUGCCAAGUCAUAUGCAGGUGGCUGAAAAAUGUGAUCUAACGUCCUUGAACACAUUUAUUACAAUCCAUCAUCUACAUGGCAACAGUCAGGGCCAUGCUCAUAAACCAGAACUGGUGCUAGAUCUGGUAUUCAUGGGCAACAAUUUAGGAAAUGAUACAGAAAGAAAGGAAGGCUGGAAAGACCAAAGAAAAACAGCUACAGUUUUGCCAAGAACCAGCCCCACGCUUCAUGAGAAUUGUGAUACAUUUACAUUUGGCUUUUAAUUUCUGUAUCAAUUUGGACUGUGUUUUUGUGAAAAUGAGAUAAUAUAUGUGAAAGUACCUAGCUGAAUUCUUGGGAUAUGGCAAAAACCCAAUAAAUA
rnacentral:lncRNA from 10 species